UGGAAACCAAGUUGAGAGGGAACAAUGGAAUAACUAAAUGGAUUCUUGAGAGUCCUACAAGAUACCAGGGGAUAGCCAAACAGGCUCCUGGACUUGGGCUGUGAAUGAGGUUUGCUGUGAUGUACAAGAACAGAACUUUGGGUCUGCAUUUGUUUUUUGUGAGUGUGUUUGUGUGAAUUUGGGAAAAUAAUAUUUUGGUCAACAAGUGCAACCUGUAUAUGUUCCAAAUCAUCACACCUGGCUGCAUGGCCUCACAAUGCACGUGUGCUGAACCAGGAGGCUGUGUGGGUGCAGGUCACCUGAACAACCUUGCCAGACAAAUGGCAUAGUGGGGAAGAGGCUACUGAGCAGAGAUCCAUGGAUAA